AAAUUGAAGAGUUUGAUCAUGGCUCAGAUUGAACGCUGGCGGCAGGCCUAACACAUGCAAGUCGAACGGUAACAGGAAGCAGCUUGCUGCUUCGCUGACGAGUGGCGGACGGGUGAGUAAUGUCUGGGAAACUGCCUGAUGGAGGGGGAUAACUACUGGAAACGGUAGCUAAUACCGCAUAAUGUCGCAAGACCAAAGAGGGGGACCUUCGGGCCUCUUGCCAUCGGAUGUGCCCAGAUGGGAUUAGCUUGUUGGUGGGGUAACGGCUCACCAAGGCGACGAUCCCUAGCUGGUCUGAGAG
rnacentral:rRNA from 1 species